AUAAUUAUACAAAAAGCACUUUCAUGCCUGAGUCCCCAAAGUCCCAGGGUCAGUCCCCAGUACUACUAUCAGCCAGAGCUGAGCAGUGCUCUAGUAUAAACAAACAAACAAAUAAAUAAAAUGUGUUUAUUGAUGACUUCACAGCAAAGGAGAGAAAAUAGAAAGUUCAGGUCACCCAGAGUAAGGAGCAAUGAGGUUUAUGAAAACAACACAAAAGGUUGAAAGAAAUGGAAUUAUGGAGGGAGAUCCUUAUAGAAAGGGUUAAUAGCAGGACAGAGCUGUCUGGGAUAUUGCAUGACUCAAAAAGGAAUGAGUAAGCAGGCAAGAAAAGUCAGGAAAACACUGGAGAAAUAGAGUGGAAAUGACACAAUCACUGAGAUCAUAUGUUCAGAAGGAUCAAAGGAAUGUGAAGCCCUACAAGGCUGAAAGAAAGCUUUUAGGGCACCAAAGUAGACACCUGGAGAGGUUAUGUGUGAUAAUAUGCCUGUAUCUUCAUGAUAAAACAUGAGAAGAGAUAAAGGACUCUAGACCUACAGAUGUUGAUGAGCUAUCCAGAAAGUUGUCUAUGGAUGUUUUUAAAAAACAGGCAAAGCAAAAGACCAGAAAAGGUUUAAGAAUAUGCAGUGGGGAGAGUGGUAGGCAGGAAGAAGGAGUGGGAAAGGCUGGGGAAACAGAAUGUUGUGAUGCCCUGGGAAAUGGCAUGGUGGCAGAACUCUGGGCUUGCAAGCAUGAGGUCUUGAGUUUGAUCCUGAGCACCGCAUAUGUCUGAGUGCUGCACGGCCACCCGCCCCACCUAUUUCUCAGGAAAUAAAUAAAUAAGUUAUGAGAAAUCAGAAUGAUGUGAAUACCGGUAGACAUUAUUAAGCAUACACGAGGCUUAAAAAAAAAAAAGGAAAAGAAACUGAGGAGCAAGGAAUAAGGACAGAUCCCUAAUCGAAUGUCAUUGUGGAGUAGGGAAGGUGAAGAGUAGGAGGCAUGUGUGUGGAAUGCUGGGCUUGGAGAGGUAGAAGUAUCAUCUUGCAGAUAAAAUCAGAUUUUGAUUAAAGUGAAGUGAUGACAGAGCAGCUGAAGUAAAGAUCAAGAGUAUGAGGUGGUUUAUUUUCAAUAGAUGACUGGUUUCCUCUGAGACCCUCAGGAAAACUCAGGCUGGGAUGUGGAGAAACAAAAAUGCAGGGUUGAUGGUUGACCAUGGUAAGUUUAGUGCAGUGGAAGGUAACUCAAGAUUCACAUUAAUGAUAAGGAAGCAUACAGAAAAAAGUGAAUUCUUCUUAAACAUUAAAAUUUUUUUAUUUA